rnacentral:rRNA from 1 species
CCUACGGGUGACAGCAGUGGGGAAUAUUGGACAAUGGGGGGAACCCUGAUCCAGCGACGCCGCGUGAGUGAAGAAGUAUUUCGGUAUGUAAAGCUCUAUCAGCAGGGAAGAAAGGAAUGACGGUACCUGACUAAGAAGCCCCGGCUAACUACGUGCCAGCAGCCGCGGUAAUACGUAGGGGGCAAGCGUUAUCCGGAUUUACUGGGUGUAAAGGGAGCGUAGACGGUUACGCAAGUCUGGAGUGAAAGCCCGGGGCCCACCCCCGGGACUGCUCUUGGAACUGCAUGGCUGGAGUACAGGAGGGGCAGGCGGAAUUCCUAGUGUAGCGGUGAAAUGCGUAGAUAUUAGGAGGAACACCGGUGGCGAAGGCGGCCUGCUGGACUGUGACUGACGUUGAGGCCCGAAGGCGUGGGGAGCAAACAGGAUUAGAUACCCCGGUAGUC